CCUACGGGUGGCAGCAGUGGGGAAUAUUGGGCAAUGGGCGCAAGCCUGACCCAGCAGCGCCGCGUGAAGGAAGAAGGCUUUCGGGUUGUAAACUUCUUUUAUGAGGGACGAAAGAAAUGACGGUACCUCAUGAAUAAGCCACGGCUAACUACGUGCCAGCAGCCGCGGUAAUACGUAGGUGGCAAGCGUUAUCCGGAUUUACUGGGUGUAAAGGGCGUGUAGGCGGGGCUGCAAGUCAGAUGUGAAAAUUAUGGGCUCAACCCAUAAACUGCCUUUGAAACUGGCAAACUGGAGUGUGUGAGAGGAUAGUGGAAUUCCAGGUGUAGGAGUGAAAUCCGUAGAUAUCUGGAGGAACAUCAGUGGCGAAGGCGACUAUCUGGCACAUAACUGACGCUGAGGAGCGAAAGCGUGGGUAGCAAACAGGAUUAGAUACCCCAGUAGUC
rnacentral:rRNA from 1 species